rnacentral:rRNA from 1 species
UACGUAGGGUGCGAGCGUUGUCCGGAAUUAUUGGGCGUAAAGGGCUCGUAGGCGGUUUGUCGCGUCGGGAGUGAAAACACCGGGCUUAACUCGGUGCUUGCUUUCGAUACGGGCAGACUAGAGGCAUGCAGGGGAGAACGGAAUUCCUGGUGUAGCGGUGAAAUGCGCAGAUAUCGGGAGGAACACCAGCGGCGAAGGCGGCACUCUGGGCUGGAACUGACGCUGAGGAGCGAAAGCGUGGGUAGCAAACAGG